rnacentral:misc_RNA from 1 species
CUUCUCUAAAACGAGUCAAUUAUCUCAUAGACAGAAAUUUUGCUGUCAUCAAAGUGAAAAUAAAUUACAUAACAAAAAUUUCUGUAGCCAAUUUUAACAAAAACUAGAAUAGGCAUCACUACCUCUCCUAUUGGCAAGAGAUGGUAUCUCAAAAUGCCAAAGCCUUCCUACGCCCUUUACCAAAUACUUCUUGCACAAAAACUCCUUUGCAUAAACCUUCUCUACCUUCCUAUCCACAUCAUGCAAGUAUACAUG